rnacentral:lncRNA from 13 species
CUUGGCAACACAGACACUUGUUGGCGCGCGCAAGCAGUGUGGGUGCAAUAAUUGAAAAACAUAGAUUUCUAAAUGUAUUUUGCAAUGCUCGCGCACGCGACACAUGCAGUGUAGUCAGUCUGUAAGUUGUGGAAGUCAGCCCAUACUGCUGUUUACUUGUGCAUUGCUGACUCUACCAUCAAGACAUUACUUUACAAACACAACCCAAGAUACUACACACACUUGAAAGGGUCUUGGCUUAUAAUCAUUUCAGUUUAAAUGAUGGAUUCAAUCGAAGAAGAAAAGGAGGAGUUGGAUCUGAUAGAGUACCGUAGUACUCCAAAGAGCAUGGCGCUGAGUGAGAUUGGAGGAUUAGCUAAGGUGGUGAAGAGUCGUAUCCUCUCUGUUGCCUUCCACCCAGUUGUCUGCUGAUGGCUGCUGGGGACAAGUUGGGUGGAGUUGUGGAACUUUGAGCGUACUCUCUCAGUAUCUCACGCAGCCACACAGCUUUGUUUUUGUCAAUUUCCAGGACUUAUUGGAGAGUAAAAAUGUGUUCUUAUUCAAAAUCAUAACUUUAACCUUAACCCAAAACCUUGUCAGGACAUUCUGGUGACUUAUCAGAACAUUGUGGUCCUGAUCCAGGCUGUAUCACAUUUGCCUAUGAUUGAGAGUCCCAUAGGGUGGCGCAUAUUUGUCCCAGCGUCAUCCGAGUUUCGCCGGGGUAGCCGUCAUUGGUUGUUUUUUUUAUGUUGUAUGUUUUAUCUCCAAGACACUUUUUCUAUUGUUUUGUAAGUAAAUAAAGUUAUAGCUGAAGUUGCACUUUUCAUGUAGUUUAUUAUUUUUCAGUACGGAGGCUGAGGCAGACAAGUCAUGUUAUUAUAAUGUUGUCUAAUGAGAGCCAUACAAAACCCCCAAGUGAAGAUCUAGUGCCAGUGUUUCACCUCUAGAUGGCAGUGUUGUAAUACAUUCACAACAACUACACUGAAGUUAUACUAGCACUGGUUAAGGAAAGGGGGAUGAUACCUAGUCAGUUGUACAACUGAAUGCCUUCAACUGAAAUGUGUCUUUAGCAUUUAACCCAACCCCUCUGAAUCAGAGAGGUGCAGGGCGCUGCCUUAAUCGACAUCCAAGUCUUCGGCGCCCGGGGAACAGUGGGUUAACUGCCUUGCUCAGGGGCAGAACGACAGAUUUUUACCUUGUCGUCUCGGGGAUUCGAUCCAACAACCUUUAGGUUACUGGCCCAAUGCUCUAACCCUUAAGACGUCCGCAAACAUAGAUUUGGUUUGCUCCUAGCAGAACUUGGCUGGCCGAAGCGAACGUCUGUGCUCGCACAUUCCCUAAAGAAAAAAAGCGGCAAUAUUACUGUUUGUCCCUCUUGAGCCACCGUAGCAACAACCUAGCCAGGAAAAUAGAUGGAUAGAGGAGACAUCUUUAUAUCUGUGCCAUCAUAGUGUCUGUGCCAGCAUGGGCUGCACCAUUGAGGCUACAACCAUAAAAAUCCCCACCUAGUUUACUACUUUGACUAUUUUUUAAAUGCUGGAAGAGCUCAAUGGCCCUUCACUGGUAUACUAUUAUACCCAAAGCUACUUUGGGUUUACUAACAUUUUAUUUGGC